AGGCUAAUGCUGGAAAACAGUUGCUAAGACUGGAUAGGGAAAUUAGAAGGCAUCUUUUAAUUUUUAAAAGACCUUUUUCGAAAGGUAUACUUAAAGAGGGGCUUGCGGCACAUUAGUUAGUUGGUAGGGUAAAAGCCUACCAGAACCAUGAUGUGUAGCUGGACUGAGAGGUUGAACAGCCACAUUGGGACUGAGACACGGCCCAAACUCCUACGGGAGGCAGCAGUAGGGAAUUUUCGGCAAUGGAGGAAACUCUGACCGAGCAACGCCGCGUGAACGAUGAAGUAUUUCGGUAGUAACAGUUCUUUUAUUGAAGAAGAAAAAAUAGUGGAAAAACUAUCUUGACGAUAUUCAAUGAAUAAGCCCCGGCAAACUAUGUGCCAGCAGCCGCGGUAAUACAUAGGGGGCGAGCGUUAUCCGGAAUUAUUGGGCGUAAAGGGUGCGUAGGCGGUUUGGUAAGUCUAUAGUUUAAUUUCAGUGCUUAACACUGUUCUGCUAUAGAAACUAUCAGACUAGAGUGAGAUAGAGGCAAUGCGAAUUCCAUGUGUAGCGGUAAAAUGCGUAAAUAUAUGGAGGACACCAGAGGCGUAGGCGGCUUGCUGGGUCUUUACUGACGCUGAGGCACGAAAGCGUGGGGAGCAAACAGGAUUAGAUACCCUGGUAGUCCACGCCGUAACGAUGAGUACUAAGUGUCGGGGAAACUCGGUACUGAAGUUAACACAUUAAGUACUCCGCCUGAGUAGUACGUACGCAAGUAUGAAACUUAAAGGAAUUGACGGGACUCCGCACAAGCGGUGGAUCAUGUUGUUUAAUUCGAAGAUACACGAAAAACCUUACCAGGUCUUGACAUACUCUGCAAAGCUAUAGCAAUAUAGUGGAGGUUAUCAGGGAUACAGGUGGUGCAUGGUUGUCGUCAGCUCGUGUCGUGAGAUGUUAGGUUAAGUCCUAAAACGAGCGCAACCCUUGUCACUAGUUGCCAGCAUGUUAUGAUGGGCACUUUAGUGAGACUGCCAAUGAAAAAUUGGAGGAAGGUGAGGAUCACGUCAAAUCAUCAUGCCCCUUAUGAUCUGGGCUACAAACGUGAUACAAUGGCUGUUACAAAGAGUAGCUAAAACGCGAGUUUAUAGCCAAUCUCAUAAAAGCAGUCUCAGUUCGGAUUGAAGUCUGCAACUCGACUUCAUGAAGUUGGAAUCGCUUGUAAUCGCGAACAGCAUGUCGCGGUGAAUACGUUCUCGGGGUUUGUACACACCGCC
rnacentral:rRNA from 1 species